rnacentral:tRNA from 1 species
GGUUCUAUGGCGCAAUUGGUUAGCGCGUCCGGCUGUUAACCGGGAGGUUGAAAGUUCGAGUCUUUCUAGUACCG